AACGAACGCUGGCGGCAGGCUUAACACAUGCAAGUCGAGCGCCCCGCAAGGGGAGCGGCAGACGGGUGAGUAACGCGUGGGAACGUCCCCUUUGCUACGGAAUAGCUCCGGGAAACUGGAAUUAAUACCGUAUGUGCCCUACGGGGGAAAGAUUUAUCGGCAAAGGAUCGGCCCGCGUUGGAUUAGCUAGUUGGUGGGGUAAUGGCCUACCAAGGCGACGAUCCAUAGCUGGUCUGAGAGGAUGAUCAGCCACAUUGGGACUGAGACACGGCCCAAACUCCUACGGGAGGCAGCAGUGGGGAAUAUUGGACAAUGGGCGCAAGCAUGAUCCAGCCAUGCCGCGUGAGUGAUGAAGGCCUUAGGGUUGUAAAGCUCUUUCACCGGAGAAGAUAAUGACGGUAUCCGGAGAAGAAGCCCCGGCUAACUUCGUGCCAGCCGCCGCUGUAAUAC
rnacentral:rRNA from 1 species